rnacentral:rRNA from 1 species
AGGGUUCGAUUCUGGCUCAGGAUUAACGCUGGCGGCGUGCCUAAUACAUGCAAGUCGAAUGGUAGCAAUACCAUGGCGAACGGGUGAGUAACACGUAGGUAACCUGUCUUUAAGCCGAGGAUAACCAUUGGAAACGAUGGAUAAUACUGGAUAGGACAUUUGAAGGCAUCUUUUAAUGUUUUAAAGAUUUAUCACUUAGAGAGGGGCCUGCGGCGCAUUAGCUAGUUGGUGAGGUGAAGGCUUACCAAGGCGAUGAUGCGUAGCCGGACUGAGAGGUUGAACGGCCACAAUGGAACUGAGAACGGUCCAUACUCCUACGGGAGGCAGCAGUAGGGAAUUUUCGGCAAUGGGCGGAAGCCCUGACCGAGCAACGCCGCGUGAACGAAGAAGUAUUUCGGUAUGUAAAGUUCUUUUAUUAGGGACGAAAAGACAGAUUGACGGUACCUAAUGAAUAAGCUCCGGCUAACUACGUGCCAGCCGCCGC